UGUCAAGGAACAGCUUAUAGAGAAUCUAAUUGCGGAAGAUAAGAUCCCUCAGCGUAAGGUCACCAUAGUUGGAAUAGGUGCCGUAGGCAUGGCUUGCGCUAUUAGUAUCUUAUUGAAGGUAAGUGACAAGCCCAUCCUGUAGCUAAAAAUCAAAUAAGCACUUUUACGUCUUGUAUAUGUUGAUGGGUUCAGGAUUGCGGGGUUAAUCCCUUGAUAUGACAAAUAUGUUUCUUAUCAUCAGAUUUUGACCUAAUUUAAGAACAUUUAGAAUCUACUCUGUCAGGGAUUGCUAGAAUAUUUAGCUUUAUUCAUAGAAGCACAUUUAAAAAAUUACUUUCAUAAUGUUAUAAUCUGGCCUGUGGGAAUGUACCUUUUUGUCCUUGGAAAGUAGAGUGAAAAUCAUAUUUCUCAAUGGUUUAUACUUAAGAUUUUUUAAUUGUAAAAGUAGUACAUGCUCAUUGUAAAACAAAGUAGCAAAUUUGAUCAAACAGCAAUGGGAGUUCUUUUAUUUUCUCAUUUCUGUUUCCAGAGGUAGACCUUGUUAACAAUUUGGUGUAUGUCCUUCCAGAUAUUUACAUCUGUAAGACAUUUAACAAAAUGUAUUAAACAAGAAUAAAGGGGGAAAGGGGAUUAUAAGCCCACAAAUAAAAGAAACCAGAAGAGGAGACAACAGUUUGAGAGAUGUCACUAUAAUUUUGAAAGAUGGAGAUCAGAUUCCCAAGUGGUAAUUGACUUAACAGAGCCAAUAACACUGAAACUUAAGUACUCACAAAAGAGAAAUCCAAAAAGAAGCAAGCAGAUUUCAGAGGCAGAACCCAAAAAAGGAUCAGGUACCAGGUACUUUUGAAGGUUAGGGUAAGAGGGAGUUAAAAGCAGGAGCGUAUCUCCUUCUAAAGACUCCUUAUUUAGGCUGUUGACUCUUACUCUUGCAAAAAGAGGUCAUUUAGUUUAGGAAGAAUUGAACCAGAGAGCCUCUAGUGAUAGGAACAUCAAGCAGAGUUGAAGGGUGUGUGUGUGUGUGUGUUUGAAGUGGGCGGAAGUACCAGAUGCUUCAGAAGGUAGAAGCGAGGGAUGGGGCAGAAAAUAGGAGGAUUGGUUGAAAGUUUGUGUAAGGAAAACCACCGGGUCCUCUUUUGCACCCUUAUCAACUAGGCAACCUCCUCUGUCACAUCCCAGCAGGUGGGGGGAAGGAACUUAUUCUUUGGAGAAAUUGAACCAGAUCAACUCUGAACUCAAGAGCACCCAGGUUCGUAGAGGACAGGCAUCUUAUUAAAAGCAGUAGGAUUAAGUGAAAGUCUAUGUGUUGAACAGUGAUGCACCAACCCUGUUACCCCUCAUUGGGUUAUUAGAAGGCAGACUUUCAGAAUAAGAUGGAAUAUAGUAGAGCAAAGAAAUGAAAUUAGAAGAUCAAUCAGGAGGUCCAACAACUUAUUAAUUGAUGUUUCAGCAAGAAAUGAGAGGGAAGACAAUUAUUCAAGAAAUAAAGCAAAAAUUCUAAAACUGAAGGACAUGAGUUCGCAAAUAUAAAGGAGUCACUGAUUGCUGAGCACAGUGAAUCAAAAAAGGCCUACUCUAAGUCAUGCCACAUCAGCAAAUGAAGGUCCCGAAAGCUUUACUCCAUCCACGUCAUUAAGGUCGACUCUACUUUGAGGAGGCAGCUCUUCCCCAGUCCUCUUUUGAGUGCCUUCCAACCUGGGGAACUCAUCUUUUAGCACUAUAUCAGACAAUGUUCUGCUGCUAUUCAUAAGGUUUUCACUGGCUAAUGCUUUUCAGCAGUAGACUGCCGGGUCCUUCUUCCUAGCCUGUCAUAGUCUGGAAGCUCAGCUGAAACCUGUCCUCCAUGGGUGACCCUGCUGGCAUCUGAAUACUGGUGGCAUAGCUUCCAGCAUCACAGCAACACGGAAGCCCCCACAGUACGACAAACUGACAGACAACACGUGACAUGUUGUCAGGAGGGAUCAGUCUCUGGAGAAGGAUAUCAUGCUUGGCAAAGUACAGGGUCAGCGGAAAAGAGGAAAACCCUUAACGAGGUGGAUUGACACAGUGGCCGCAACAAUGGGCUCAAGCAUAACAACGAUUGUAAGGAUGGCGCAGGACCAGGCAGUGUUUCGUCCUGUUGUGCAUAGGGUUGCUAUGAGUUGGAACUGACUCUAGGGCACCUAACAACAACAACAACAAUAGGAUAAAUGGAAACUGAUGAAGGACAUUAAAAUAUGCAUGCUCAUAUUGUUCGUUGCCUUGAAGGAACUUGUGGGCUGUAUUGGGAACCAUGUAUCUGCAUACCUGAUUGACAGGUCACUUUAAAUGGUUUAUAAGGUCAAGUCAAGCUUUUAGCAGUUGGGUAGCAAUACAGCCUAAUUCCUUGUCUGUACAGAGCAAUGUGGCCACAACAGUUUUCCCUAGAUCUUAAUUCUCUUGUUCUGUACCUUACUAUGGUUAAUCUGGCACUCCCUGGAGAGAAGAUCCUUGAACACUCAUAAUUAUUUUUACAAGAUUUCUGGAAAACUAAACAAGCCCAGGCUCUCUGUUUGGAAUUCUAUUUGAGAAGUGACAAAGAUAUAGCUAACUUUCCAAAAACAAACAAAGGCUUUUAGGGAUUAUCUGAACUUUGUCUUCCACAGACAUGGUAAAUGGAUUUGGGAAGACCUUGAUAAGAGAAUUGUAACCUGUUGAAAAGGGAGAUAAAUCAAAUUGGGAAUAUAAUUUAAAAGCAGGCUGUGUUGGUUAUUAAAUGAUUGUUACUGAACUCCAAAUCCAGCUAUCUAUGCUCUGUUUUGUGAUCCUGGCACUGGGUCUCUUCAUAGAAUGUUUCUCUUUUUCCAUUAAGCAUUUCGUUAGGUUCUGCCGAUGGGGCGGGGGA